UUGUGGUGGUGCGCUUAAUCAAACAGUUGGGCACACAAUCUGCUAUUUUUGAGUGCAAUUUGUUAAUAUUUACCACUUUCUUUUUCCCUAAACGAUAUUAACAGCCAGAGAAACGAGUCCCUGGAAACGCUUUCCUCUUCUUCCCCUUUUUUUCCUCUUUUCGAGUCAAUGAACAGGCAGCGAGCGGCGGUUUCUGCGGCACCAGUGCCAUCUGCUGCCCCGCCCCGGCAGCACAGAAGCCGCACGGAACUUUCCUCACUGAAGUGUCCAAAUAACAGCAAAGCAAAAUAUUUUUUUUUUUUUUUAAUUUCUUGGGGGACAGCCCGAUCCCACAGCAUGCCCUGCAAAGCUCCUGCUGGCCGAGCAGGUCAGUAAUAUUUACGUGACAUUUUCCAUCAGAGAGGUUCUAAAAUCCUGGCUUUCUCUGCUGUAGUGAAAAAGGAUAAAACCAGCACAGGGAAAAAAACUGGUAUGAUUCUGAUUAAGUGCGGCCACUAAUGUAAACAGUGAAGUGGGAGGCUGUCAACUUGCUCCCCAGAAACACAUCCAGCACCUCUGUUGGAGCAUCUCAUGGGGCUGAGAGGGCUGAGAUACAGGUGUGGUGGCUGACCAGGACAGUAUAUUAAGAAGAGUGUAGCUGCAUUUCCUAGAUUUAUAUUUCUAAAUCAUGUCUUUAGAGUAAAGGAAUAUCUCAUCUUCCAGGAUCAUGUUCUGUCAAGCUGUCACAAUAGCUUAAUUUACAACCAAUUAAGACACAUGCACUGUUAAUUUUGCAUGCACAAACAAACUUUGCUUGCUUGCAUUUGUGGGAAUAUGCUUAGGGGUUUUUUUAAGAGGAGAGGGUUUUUUUCUCUUCACCACAGUUUGACAGAAGUCCUUCUGAUGUCUUACAGAGCAGCAGUGUCCUACAAGACCAGAGCCUGAGAAACAUCCCCGCAGAUGGAGCUGCAGGGAUCCUUCAUUUAUCAACUACCUGAUUCAUUUGAUGUGGACCAAUACUUGCUCUUGGCUUUGCUCUCUUUGCUCUUUGUUUUUUGUUGUGGUGGUUUUGGUUUUGGGUUUGGGUGUGUUUGGUUGUGUGGUUGUUUUUUUUUAAUUUAUCUUGUGUUUAUAAUAUCUGCAGUAGAUUCUUUUAUGUAUAAAAACAUAAAAUCAUGUAUUGUACACAGGUAGUAAAAACACUGAUUUGCUACUGCAGUGUUUCUCAAACUAGUUGAGUUCAUUUAGGCAAUGUACUUUAUCAAAGCUGUGUUUUGCCCACAGCAAAACAAACCGUCAGCUGUUACAGAAGAAUAAUUAUUUUUCAUAUUAAAAUGUGGCUAUAUGACAGCUCAUUGUAUCCAUUAAAACAACUACCUAUUCUUCA